ACACCGUUGGUGAAGUGGUUAUCAUGCUUGCCUUCCAAUAUUAUAUAGUCAGCAAGCGGCUCGGGUUCGAUUCCCGAACGGUGUA